CCUACAAAUGUCCCCAUAGCUCCAUACUCACUAAGUUUAUUUUGGGUAGGAUAGAAAUGACCAAUUCCAAGGGGUAUAGAUUGCAGAUGGCACAAAGGGAGAAGGGGCAAUAUCAAAACAGGAAAGGUUAAAUGAGAUGAGGGAUGAGAGGACAGAGUAGAGAAGAAUAGGGAGAGAUAACUAAAAAUACAGACCUUUGUAAAGGACAUAUGGAAAGUACUACUGUAGAAUCUUCCCCCAAAAUAUACAUAAACAUGUGUAAAUAGAGUUUAAACAGAGUUAGCUCACAGAAGGGAGGAAACGACUUCAUAUAUCAUACACUACAGAAAACCCAGUGCCAACUCUGAGAUUACAAGCACAGACCUUUGGGUCCAACUUUAUACAUGGGUUCUGGAGGAUCACGGCUUGGUGCUUGCGUGGAAUCACCAGAUGAAGCCAGACGUCUUUGGAGAUCGCAGGACUGGAUGAAUCCCUGCGGAAAGGAAACUGGACUCGUGGAGGAUAGAAUGGUGCUGAGGCUGGUAUUCGCCACUUAAUCAUCCAUGAUGAAACUCCUCUUCUUUUUACUUUCUGGAGACAAGGUCUCACUGCGUAGUCUAGGUUGG